GCAGGACCACACUCGUAGGAGCGGGUAUAAAGGGUGAAGCCAGCACUGGCUACCACAGCUCCACCUGCCCUCAGGAUGAAGCCUAGCAGCCUUACCGUCUUCCUGGUGAUAUUUGCCUUUGGAUUCCUGACGUCCUGGGUUGUGGAAGGUGGUCUCAGAGAAAAAUGUAAACCUGGAGCCUGCCCCUUCCUACGCCUUAGGAAGUGCAUUGGCUAUGAACCCUCUGAAUGCCGGAAUGACUGGCAGUGUCCACGAAGGCAAAAAUGCUGCUCCAACGCUUGUGGCCACAAAUGCAUGGAUCCUGUAUUCGCGGAAGACUCAGGUGAGAAAUUGCCAGCGCCAUUUGCAUACAAUUAGCACUUCCUGGUCUGUGUGACUUGGGGAUUACCUUUUUCUGCCAAGCCUGGAAAAAAUGAGAGCACCUUGGUGAAGAUGUGGUUCUGUGACCAAUACCUCCUUGGGGGCCAAGAUUUGGCCUGUUUUAUCUAUGUAUCCCCAGCAUCCAACGUGAAGCUUGACACACGACAGGAGAUGUCUGCUGAUUAGUAAAUAAAUAAAUGUACCAGGUUU